rnacentral:rRNA from 1 species
GAUGAACGCUGGCGGCGUGCCUAAUACAUGCAAGUCGAGCGAACAGACGAGGAGCUUGCUCCUCUGACGUUAGCGGCGGACGGGUGAGUAACACGUGGAUAACCUACCUAUAAGACGGGGAUAACUUCGGGAAACCGGAGCUAAUACCGGAGAAUAUAUUGAACCGCAUGGUUCAAUAGUGAAAGACGGUUUUGCUGGAACGUAUAGAUGGAUCCGCGCCGCAUUAGGUAGUUGGUAAGGUAACGGCUUACCAAGGGAACGAUGCGUAGCCGACCGGAGAGGGUGUUCGCCCACCUGGGAACUGAGACACGGUCCAGACUCCUACGGGAGGCAGCAGUAGGCAAUCGUCCGCAAUGGGCGGAAGCCUGACGGAGCGACGCCACGUGAGUGAUGAAGGUCUCCGGAUCGUAAAACUCUCUUACUAGGGAAGAACAACUUUGUAAGUAACUAUGCACGUCUUGACGGUACCUAAUCAGAAAGCCACGGCUAACUACGUG